rnacentral:rRNA from 1 species
CGUGUAGGCGGUUUGUUAAGUCUGAUGUGAAAGCCCCGGGCUCAACCUGGGAAGUGCAUUGGAAACUGGCAGACUUGAAUACGGGAGAGGGCAGUGGAAUUCCUGGUGUAGGAGUGAAAUCCGUAGAUAUCAGGAGGAACACCGGUGGCGAAGGCGGCUGCCUGGACCGAUAUUGACGCUGAGACGCGAAAGCGUGGGUAGCAAACAGGAUUAGAUACCCUGGUAGUCCACGCCGUAAACGAUGAGUACUAGGUGUUGCGGGUAUUGACCCCUGCAGUGCCGCAGCUAACGCAUUAAGUACUCCGCCUGGGAAGUACGGUCGCAAGACUAA